CAAGUCGAGCGAGCGGAACCACAGAUUUACUUCGGUAAUGACGUUGGGAAAGCGAGCGGCGGAUGGGUGAGUAACACGUGGGGAACCUGCCCCUAAGUCUGGGAUACCAUUUGGAAACAGGUGCUAAUACCGGAUAAUAAAGCAGAUCGCAUGAUCAGCUUUUGAAAGGCGGCGUAAGCUGUCGCUAAGGGAUGGCCCCGCGGUGCAUUAGCUAGUUGGUAAGGUAACGGCUUACCAAGGCGACGAUGCAUAGCCGAGUUGAGAGACUGAUCGGCCACAUUGGGACUGAGACACGGCCCAAACUCCUACGGGAGGCAGCAGUAGGGAAUCUUCCACAAUGGACGCAAGUCUGAUGGAGCAACGCCGCGUGAGUGAAGAAGGUUUUCGGAUCGUAAAGCUCUGUUGUUGGUGAAGAAGGAUAGAGGUAGUAACUGGCCUUUAUUUGACGGUAAUCAACCAGAAAGUCACGGCUAACUACGUGCCAGCAGCCGCGGUAAUACGUAGGUGGCAAGCGUUGUCCGGAUUUAUUGGGCGUAAAGCGAGCGCAGGCGGAAAAAUAAGUCUAAUGUGAAAGCCCUCGGCUUAACCGAGGAACUGCAUCGGAAACUGUUUUUCUUGAGUGCAGAAGAGGAGAGUGGAACUCCAUGUGUAGCGGUGGAAUGCGUAGAUAUAUGGAAGAACACCAGUGGCGAAGGCGGCUCUCUGGUCUGCAACUGACGCUGAGGCUCGAAAGCAUGGGUAGCGAACAGGAUUAGAUACCCUGGUAGUCCAUGCCGUAAACGAUGAGUGCUAAGUGUUGGGAGGU
rnacentral:rRNA from 1 species